GACGAACGCUGGCGGCGUGCCUAACACAUGCAAGUCGUACGGGCUUGGGGGGCAACUCUCAAGUCAGUGGCGAACGGGUGCGUAACACGUGAGCAACUUGCCCUAAGGUGGGGGAUAGCCGGCCCAACGGCCGGGUAAUACCGCAUAUGGCGCCAGGGUCGCAUGGCUUUGGCGGGAAAGCGGCCGCAAGGUCGCGCCAGAGGAGGGGCUCGCGACGUAUCAGCUAGUUGGCGGGGUAAUGGCCCACCAAGGCUACGACGCGUAGCUGGU
rnacentral:rRNA from 1 species